CCUUGACAUACUAAGAACUUUCCAGAGAUGGAUUGGUGCCUUCGGGAACUUAGAUACAGGUGCUGCAUGGCUGUCGUCAGCUCGUGUCGUGAGAUGUUGGGUUAAGUCCCGNAACGAGCGCAACCCUUUUCCUUAUUUGCCAGCGGGUCAUGCCGGGAACUUUAAGGAUACUGCCAGUGACGAACUGGAGGAAGGCGGGGACGACGUCAAGUCAUCAUGGCCCUUACGGCCAGGGCUACACACGUGCUACAAUGGUCGGUACAAAGGGUUGCUACCUCGCGAGAGGAUGCUAAUCUCAAAAAGCCGAUCGUAGUCCGGAUCGCAGUCUGCAACUCGACUGCGUGAAGUCGGAAUCGCUAGUAAUCGCGGAUCAGAAUGCCGCGGUGAAUACGUUCCCGGGCCUUGUACACACCGCCCGUCACACCAUGGGAGUUUGUUGCACCAGAAGUAGGUAGUCUAACCGCAAGGAGGACGCUUACCACGGUGUGGCCGAUGACUGGGGUGAAGUCGUAACAAGGUAGGCGUAGAUGA
rnacentral:rRNA from 1 species